ACAGGCUCUACGUGCUGCUUAUGGAUUCAAGACUGUCAUGCCCUUUUGAGGAAUUACGGCCAGAAAAGUAGAGAGUCAUUUACCCACCUGGAAACCCAGACUGAUGCACAAUGUCCACACCUGACUGCGGAGCAUAGGCCUCUGGCUGAACUUUUGUCUCUUCCACUAUGGGAUCGCAGCAGGAACCGUUCCGAAAAUGUCAGCUGUUCAGAAAAUCUGGAUGGAGGGCACUGGGGAUGAGUUAGAGAAAUAAUUGGAUUCCUCCAAACUCUUGAAAUUUCAAACCUUUUCAAAACCACGCCUCUACCCCAGUCCCUUGGUUUGUCUGCUAGAAACGUCAACAUCUGGAAAGUCAAAAAUGCCAAGGAAAUUCUCUUCCCAAGAAACCAGAUGGCUGCAGGUUUCACAUGGGGGACAAACUGACUAAAAAUGUCAGCCACCAAAAUGGCAUGAGGGGAGAGAACGUUCCUGUCAGACUUGACCA